rnacentral:rRNA from 1 species
AUAAUGACUCUCGGCAACGGAUAUCUCGGCUCUCGCAUCGAUGAAGAACGCAGCGAAAUGCGAUACCUGGUGUGAAUUGCAGAAUCCCGUGAAUCAUCGAGUCUUUGAACGCAAGUUGCGCCCGAGGCCUCCAGCCGAGGGCACGCCUGCCUGGGCGUCACG